AUUGAACGCUGGCGGCAUGCCUUACACAUGCAAGUCGAACGGUAACGGGCCUUCGGGUGCCGACGAGUGGCGAACGGGUGAGUAAUGCAUCGGAACGUACCUUUCAGUGGGGGAUAACGUAGCGAAAGUUACGCUAAUACCGCAUAUUCUGUGAGCAGGAAAGCAGUGGAUCGCAAGACCUUGCGCUGAUUGAGCGGCCGAUGUCAGAUUAGCUAGUUGGUGAGGUAAAGGCUCACCAAGGCGACGAUCUGUAGCGGGUCUGAGAGGAUGAUCCGCCACACUGGAACUGAGACACGGUCCAGACUCCUACGGGAGGCAGCAGUGGGGAAUUUUGGACAAUGGGGGCAACCCUGAUCCAGCCAUGCCGCGUGAGUGAAGAAGGCCUUCGGGUUGUAAAGCUCUUUCGGCCGGGAAGAAAUCGUAUGGGUUAAUACCCUGUGCGGAUGACGGUACCGGCAUAAGAAGCACCGGCUAACUACGUGCCAGCCGCCGCGGUAAAAC
rnacentral:rRNA from 1 species